AGAAUCAACGCUGGCGGCGUGCCUAACACAUGCAAGUCGAACGAGAAAGUGGAGCAAUCCAUGAGUAGAGUGGCGUACGGGUGAGUAACACGUGACUAACCUUCCUUCGAGUGGGGAAUAACCUCGGGAAACCAGGGCUAAUACCGCAUAACAUCACCGGGUGAAAUUCCCGAUGAUCAAAGGGGUAAGACGCUUGAAGAGGGGGUCGCGGCUGAUUAGUUAGUUGGCGGGGUAAUGGCCCACCAAGACGAUGAUCAGUAGCCGGCCUGAGAGGGCGCACGGCCACACUGGGACUGAAACACGGCCCAGACUCCUACGGGAGGCAGCAGUGGGGAAUUUUGCGCAAUGGGGGAAACCCUGACGCAGCAACGCCGCGUGGAGGAUUAAGUCCCUUGGGAUGUAAACUCCUUUCGACGGGGAAGAACUGACGGUACCCGUAGAACGAAGCCCCGGCUAACUUCGUGCCAGCAGCCGC
rnacentral:rRNA from 1 species